AUUAAACGCUGGCGGCAUGCCUUACACAUGCAAGUCGAACGGCAGUACGGGGGCAACCCUGGUGGCGAGUGGCGAACGGGUGAGUAAAGCAUCGGAACGUGCCCUGGAGUGGGGGAUAACGUAGCGAAAGUUACGCUAAUACCGCAUAUUCUGUGAGCAGGAAAGCAGGGGAUCGCAAGACCUUGCGCUCUGGGAGCGGCCGAUGUCGGAUUAGCUAGUUGGUGGGGUAAAGGCCUACCAAGGCGACGAUCCGUAGCGGGUCUGAGAGGAUGAUCCGCCACACUGGGACUGAGACACGGCCCAGACUCCUACGGGAGGCAGCAGUGGGGAAUUUUGGACAAUGGGCGAAAGCCUGAUCCAGCCAUGCCGCGUGAGUGAAGAAGGCCUCGGGUUGUAAGCUCUUCGGUGGGAGAAUUAGCAUAGGCUAAUACCCUGUGUAGAUGACGGUACCUGGAGAAGAAG
rnacentral:rRNA from 1 species